UACGAAGGGGGCUAGCGUUGCUCGGAAUCACUGGGCGUAAAGCGCACGUAGGCGGCUUUUUAAGUCAGAGGUGAAAUCCUGGAGCUCAACUCCAGAACUGCCUUUGAUACUGGAGAGCUUGAGUCCGGGAGAUGUGAGUGGAACUGCGAGUGUAGAGGUGAAAUUCGUAGAUAUUCGCAAGAACACCAGUGGCGAAGGCGGCUCACUGGCCCGGUACUGACGCUGAGGUGCGAAAGCGUGGGGAGCAAACAGG
rnacentral:rRNA from 1 species